CGGCUAGGGGGCCAUCCCGGCUUACCAACCCGAUGCAAACUGCGAAUACCGGAGAAUGUUAUCACGGGAGACACACGGCGGGUGCUAACGUCCGUCGUGAAGAGGGAAACAACCCAGACCGCCAGCUAAGGUCCCAAAGUCAUGGUUAAGUGGGAAACGAUGUGGGAAGGCCCAGACAGCCAGGAUGUUGGCUUAGAAGCAGCCAUCAUUUAAAGAAAGCGUAAUAGCUCACUGGUCGAGUCGGCCUGCGCGGAAGAUGUAACGGGGCUAAACCAUGCACCGAAGCUGCGGCAGCGACACUCAGGUGUUGUUGGGUAGGGGAGCGUUCUGUAAGCCUGCGAAGGUGGCCUGUGAGGGUUGCUGGAGGUAUCAGAAGUGCGAAUGCUGACAUAAGUAACGAUAAAGCGGGUGAAAAGCCCGCUCGCCGGAAGACCAAGGGUUCCUGUCCAACGUUAAUCGGGGCAGGGUGAGUCGACCCCUAAGGCGAGGCCGAAAGGCGUAGUCGAUGGGAAACGGGUUAAUAUUCCCGUACUUGGUGUUACUGCGAAGGGGGGACGGAGAAGGCUAUGUUGGCCGGGCGACGGUUGUCCCGGUUUAAGCGUGUAGGUGUGUGUUCCAGGUAAAUCCGGUU
rnacentral:rRNA from 1 species